UGCGCCUUAUGCAUGCAAGUCGAGCGAAGCUUUUCAGUAGUUUACUACAGAAAAUGACUGAGCGGCGAACGGGUGAGUAACGCGUGAGCAAUCUACCUUAGUUACAGGGAUAGCCCGAGGAAACUCGGAUUAAUACCUGAUAUUCUUUAUAUUUCGCAUGAAAUUAAAAGGAAAGGUCAGCCGAACUAAGAUGAGCUCGCGUUCUAUCAGCUAGUUGGUGAGGUAAAAGCUCACCAAGGCUACGACGGAUAGCUGGUCUGAGAGGACGAUCAGCCACACUGGGAGUGAGACACGGCCCAGACUCCUACGGGAGGCUGCAGCAGGGAAUAUUGCGCAAUGAGCGAAAGCUUGACGCAGCGACACCGCGUGUGGGAUGACGGAUCUAGGUUUGUAAACCACUUUCAGGAGGGAAGAAAAUGACUGUACCU
rnacentral:rRNA from 1 species